UACGUAGGGUGCAAGCGUUAAUCGGAAUUACUGGGCGUAAAGCGUGCGCAGGCGGCUAUGCAAGACAGAUGUGAAAUCCCCGGGCUCAACCUGGGAACUGCAUUUGUGACUGCAUGGCUAGAGUACGGUAGAGGGGGAUGGAAUUCCGUGUGUAGCAGUGAAAUGCGUAGAUAUGCGGAGGAACACCGAUGGCGAAGGCAAUCCCCUGGGCCUGCACUGACGCUCAUGCACGAAAGCGUGGGGAGCAAACAGG
rnacentral:rRNA from 1 species